GAGGGGAUAGCUCAGUGGUACAGCACGUGCUUAGCACGCACGAGGUCCUGGGUUCAAUCCCCAGUACCUCCA
rfam:Camelus ferus unplaced genomic scaffold scaffold319, whole genome shotgun sequence.